ensembl:lncRNA
AUUAAUAAAGUGAUAUCAACUCAGUUUUAUUUAAGAGACAAACAAUGUAGGUAAACAGUAGCAUGCGAAUAAGAGCACCUCUCUAUCAGGGAACAGAAAAUUUAAAUCAGCAUACUAGGCUACAUAUCCAAUGUACAGUUCUGUUCAAAGAACGGCAUCAUGGCUAGAGGAAGAGGAAGGGAAGGCUGUGGACAGUGUGCGCAGUUCUGAGAGACUCCCCAUCCCCGGGGGAUGAGAAUCAGAUGGGCAGCAGAGAAGGCUGGCUGUGGGCCCUUCUCCCCCUGGACAGGAAUGUAGAUUGGGAACCUAUGUCUGAGUACAGCAUGCACCCAAAACCUAAGCAAAGUACACAAUAAAAUUAAAGAGUCGCAAAAACCCUCUUGUGAUUAACACAAAGAUGCCGAGAACUGAUGACAAUAUGAACCGUGAGCUACCAAAGCUGUUUUUAAAAUCAAACACGAGUAAUUCCUGCACAUGGACGCUAGACAAGGCAACUCUGCAAUGUGUAACUCAGACCUAGCAUGGACACACCUGAGACAAAGCAAAGGGAGCUAGAAGCAGCCAGGUGUCUCCCCCAAGCACAUCCUCAGCUCUUCUAGGACCACAAAGCUCGACUCUCACACACUAUCUGGCAGCAGCUCAGAGCCAGCCGCCCUGUUCAGCCCUCUCUAUAGCUGACAAAAACCAAAGCGCCUUUAGUCCCUUCUGACACCAGAUUACAGGAACAGCUCCCUCCCCCAUCUGCUGGGAGCGCUCUCAUCCCUGCAGAUGAACUGGCCUGUCUUGCUCAACUACAGGUGGGCUCCCUGUGUUAGAAAUCUAAGAACAUACUAACUAUAUGCCGCUCUGAAACAAACAAACAAACAAACAAACAAAACUGGAGUCAGAAAUUGGUGGUUUAUUUAAGGUCAGCCUGUGGAGAAUACAGGAGACUUUGCAUCCCAGUUGCCAUAUUCGUACCAUAGCUCAGCGAUGCAAAGAACUUUUACCAGACACGAAGGGGUUAUGGUGUGGCUGUGGGUGGAACUUUACCCAGGACUUCACGCCUCCAUCGGUCCAGGACCUCCCUGACUUCCGAGCGCCACCUCCUGGGCGGCACCGGUAUCUUCUUUCUAGGCAAACCAUUCUGGGAGUCCGUUAGCCUCACUGGAAGCAGGGGCAUUGUAGAGAUCUAGUUAAAAGAAUUAACCAGCCGGGCCAGUGGGAGUGCACGCCUUUAAUCCCACCACUCGGGAGGCAGACGAAGGUGGAGCUCUUUGAGUUCGAGGCCAGCCUGGUCUUCAGAGCGAGUGCCAGGACUGCCAAAGCUGUUAUAAAAUGAAAAGCAAAAACAAUUAAAAAAAAAAAAAGAAUCUUCCAGCACCAAAUAAAGGACAUUUUGCAAGUAUUUGCUUCCUUGGUCUUUAGCAAGUACUUCUGUGCACAGCGUCUCACUCAUCCAUACAGAGACAAAGUCUUGUUAUGUACCUCAGUCUGGCCUGGAAUAUUCUGUUACUGACAUUGACCUUAAACGUGAGGUCUCGCUGCCAUAGCUCCCAGACUGCUGGAAUUACAGGCAUGAGGACCCGAGUUCAAUCCGCAGAAUCCACAUUUAAGAAUAAAAAGUAACUCUCAGUGAUGGGCACCUGUGAUCCCAGCCUGGGCAGGUAGAGACAGUGCAGAGAGAGCUCCUGUCUCAAAAAAAUAAGGGGGCUAGAGAGAUGGCUCAGAGGUUAAGAGCACCGGCUGCUCUUCCAGAGGUCCUGAGUUCAAUUCCCAGCAACCACAUGGUGGCUCUCAACCAUCCGUUAUGAGAUCUGGUGCUCUCUUCUGGCCUGCAGAUAUACAUGGAAGCAGAAUGUUGUAUACAUAAUAAAUAAAUAAAAUAUUUAAAAAAACUUUCUAUUAAA